rnacentral:tRNA from 1 species
GCAGUCGUGACCGAGUGGUUAAGCUGAUGGACUAGAAAUCCAUUGGGGUCUCCCCGCACAGGUUCGAAUCCUGUUGACUGCG